AUGUCUUCCAGUGACUCCGACGAGGGCGCGUGGCCGACCGGCGUUUGGCCGCAGAGCCUCACCGUCGGCGACACGGAGGAUCUGGCCCGGUGGUGGCGCAGGAAGAACUUCGACAUCGUCCUCGGCGCGUUUAGGGAUGCGGCGGCCGGCCGCACCGUCGGGGACAUUACCGGCGAGGCCGGCACUUCCCGUGGUCGCCGCCGCCACGGCCCACCUCCAGCCGCCCCCACUGCCCCGGCACAGCAAGCGCCCCCUGACCCGGCGCUGGUCGAGAUCCCGCCGGUGCAAGCCGCCCUCGCGCAAGACAGAGACCCCGACGACACGCCAGGGCUACUUGCGGUGCUGGCCCAAUCGGCAGAGGAGGCGGCGGCGGCCACUCAUGAGGAACGAGAGCGGCUGGCGGCCAUAGCGGCGGUGCAGGAGCAGCAGGCGCGGGAAGACAACUGGUGGGAUUUCAGCGACGACGACAACGACGACGACGGUGGCGAAGACGGCGAAGGAGAGGCCGGCGGUAUGGCGCCGGUCGUCGACCUCACCGGCGCCAGCGACGACGAGUAGGCCGUACUGGUUCUUAUGGGUACAAUCUUAGCACCACAACCCACCAAGUUUGUUCCUUAUCGUUAUUACAAAAUGGUGGAGGACGUGAACGCUAUCAAGUCAUACAAUUGGAACGAUUUCACGUUGAGGGUGUGCAUGGAUGCUAUUAAAAAAUUGGUCGAAGAUCUUAAAAAAUUCAAGUGGCCUAUCGGGAACUUGGCUCUUCUUCAGUAUAUAUACUGGGAAAAAGUUGAGCCAAUUGGUGUGGAUACAUUUGAUCCUUUGUCUCGUGAAUACCCACUAAUGGUUAACUGGCCAGAAACGGAAGGGAAAAAGAGAGACGACUAUGACAACAUGCACGGGCGUGGCACCGGCAAUAUGGUAAUGGAAAAGUUGAACACGGAAGGUGUGCUGUACAAACCCAAUAAGAGGGACACCAAUGACGAAUUUGAUAAUGUAGGUGAAGGAGUUGGGAUGGAGAAUGGCCAGUACAAGUCAUCAAAAUAUUGGCCAGAUAUUGAUUCACCUACCGACAUGGAGCUAGUAACAUCUUUCACGCGUUUCAAUGAUACCGACGUGCCCGUUGAUGACACGGGUGCUCCGGCGACGACACCGGGUAAAGGUGACGCUACUGAUCCUUUCAUUAUAGACGAUAAUGGAAAGUCUCCAUGUUCGUCAUCAACUGUACGUACAAAAGAGUUUCCGUCUAUGUCCCGAACCCCGCAGAAUGCUGAUAUUUCUGGUGAGUCUAUGGGUGGUUUGUCACCAACAAAGUCUGAAGACAUGUCUGAGAGUUUCCCAGCAAAGAGCAACAUAGGUAAUGGUGAAGGCAGUCAGGACAAUGAAGAGGCAGCCAGAGUUUUUGUUGAGACUCUCGCAUCGACAAAGAAGCAUGCACACCGAACCGUGGUCGAUAUGCCGCCACCAGAUGGGGACAUAUGCACGCCAGCUAUGCUUCACGAUGUCCUGAAGUUUAAAUGGUUGAAUGGCGCUGCGUAUUUUCCUAUGCACGUUAAUGAUAAUCAUUGGAUAACCAUAGUGAUGCACACCAUCAAGGAGGAGUUUCAAGUUCUUGACUCAAAUUCUAAAGGCGCAAUUAGACAAAGAAUUCGCAAUAUGAUUGCCACCCUGAGGGCUGAAAUUUCUAAGGAUAUUAGGGAGGCCAACUCUAUUCUUGAAUAA
rnacentral:rRNA from 1 species